UACGGAGGGUGCGAGCGUUACCCGGAUUUACUGGGCGUAAAGCGUGCGUAGGCGGUCGGCUAAGUUUGGUGUGAAAUCUCCCGGCUCAACCGGGAGGGUGCGCCGAAAACUGGCCGGCUAGAGUGCGGGAGAGGGAAGUGGAAUUCCUGGUGUAGCGGUGAAAUGCGUAGAUAUCAGGAGGAACACCGGUGGUGAAGACGGCUUCCUGGACCGUGACUGACGCUGAGGCACGAAAGCGUGGGGAGCAAACAGG
rnacentral:rRNA from 1 species